UCCGAGUUGACCCCGGCAGUCUUCGAUGAGUCCCCGGCAUCACCCGCUGGCAACAUCGAACGAGGGUUGCGCUCGUUGCGGGACUUAACCCAACAUCUCACGACACGAGCUGACGACAGCCAUGCAGCACCUCGACUGAUGUCCCUUGCGGGAAAAACGACUUUCGCCGCCUGUCACCAGCCGUUCGAGCCCAGGUAAGGUUCUUCGCGUUGCGUCGAAUUAAACCACAUACUCCACCGCUUGUGCGGGCCCCCGUCAAUUCCUUUGAGUUUCAGCCUUGUGACCGUACUCCCCAGGCGGGAUACUUAAUGCGUUAGCUUCGCCACAAAGGGAUUCAAUCCCCCUCACAGCAAGUAUCCAUCGUUUACAGCGUGGACUAC
rnacentral:misc_RNA from 1 species